GGUAGGAUGGCCGAAUAGGUGGCGGAUUGUAGCUCCGUUCACAGAGGUUUAAAUCCUCUUUCUAUCA
rnacentral:tRNA from 1 species